GAUGAACGCUGGCGGCGUGCUUAAUACAUGCAAGUCGAGCGAAGCACUUUAACGGAAUUCUCCGGAAGGAAGGUAAAGUGACUGAGCGGGCGUACGGGUGAAGGUACGCGUAGGUUAACCGUGCCUUAUACAGGGGGAUAACAGUUAGAAAUGGCUGCUAAUACCGCAUAAGCGCACAGGGCCGCAUGGCCCGGUGUGAAAACUCCGGUGGUAUAAGAUGGACCCGCGUCUGAUUAGCUAGUUGGUAAGGUAACGGCUUACCAAGGCAACGAUCAGUAGCCGACCUGAGAGGGUGACCGGCCACAUUGGGACUGAGACACGGCCCAA
rnacentral:rRNA from 1 species